ACGCGAAGAACCUUACCCAGGCUUGAACAGCGAGUGACAAACUACGAAAGUGGUCUUCCGCAAGGACACUCGUAGAGGUGCUGCAUGGCUGUCGUCAGCUCGUGUCGUGAGAUGUUGGGUUAAGUCCCGCAACGAGCGCAACCCUUGUUUGCUGUUGCCAUCAGGUUAUGCUGGGCACUCUGCAAAGACUGCCGGUGAUAAACCGGAGGAAGGUGGGGAUGACGUCAAGUCAGCAUGGCCUUUAUGUUUGGGGCUACACACGUGCUACAAUGGCCGAUACAAACCGUCGCGAGCCCGCAAGGGGGAGCUAAUCGGAGAAAGUCGGUCUCAGUUCGGAUUGUAGGCUGCAACUCGCCUGCAUGAAGUUGGAAUCGCUAGUAAUCGCGGAUCAGCACGCCGCGGUGAAUACGUUCCCGGGCCUUGUA
rnacentral:rRNA from 1 species